AGCGGUAUUAGAGGUAGAGGUAUUAGAGGUAUGAGAGGUAGAUGUAUUAGAGGUAGAUGUAUUCAAGAUAUUGAAUGUAUGAGAGGUGGAUGUAUUAGAGGUAUGAGAGGUAUGAGAGAUAUUAGAGGUAAGAUAAGUAUUAGAGGUAUGAGAGGUAUUAGAGGUAUGAGAGGUAUUAGAGGUAUGAGAGGUAUUAGAGGUAUGAGAGGUAUUGGAGGUAGAUGUAUUCAGGGUAGAGGUAUUAAAGAUAUUGGAGGAAUGAGAGGUAUUAGAGGUAUGAGAGGUAUGAGAGGUAUUAGUGGUAUGAGAGGUAGAGGUAUUAGAAGUAGAGGUAUGAUAGGUAGAGGUAUCAAAAAUAUUGGAGGUAUGAGAGGUAGAGAGGUAUGAGAGGUAUUAGAGCUAUUGGAGAUAUGAGAAGUAUGAGAGGUAGAGGUAUUAGAGUUAGAGAAAUGACAGGUUAUUGGAGGCAGAGGUAUUAGAGGUAUGAUAUGUAUUAGAGGUAGAAGUAAUUGAGGUAUGAGAUGUAUUAGAGGUAUUGGAGGUAGAGGUAUGAGAGGUGUGAGAGGUAGAGAUAUUAAAGGUAGAGGUAUGAGAGGUAUUAGAGGCAGAGGUAUUAGAGGUAUGAGAGGUUUGAAAGGUAUGAGAGGUAUGAAAGGUAUUGGAGGUUUGAAAGGUAUGAGAGGUAUUGGAGGUAUUACAGUUAUUAGAGGUAUGCUAAGAGACUAUGACAUCAUGACAGGAGCCCUGGAUUAACAGGGGGAGAAGGCUAUUACGUCCAGUGGAACAUUGUGUAGUAGUAAUGUGUUAUAUAUUAGACUGAAUGACACACUGAACGUGUUAUAUAGAAUAAAAAUGCUUUAUUUUAUAAUACCCAUGGUAACAAUUACAUGAUUUUAUUUGUAAUGAAUUGUUCAAAUACCUGGAAAGGUGAUGUAGACUAGUGUCG
rnacentral:lncRNA from 1 species